CCUACGGGAGGCAGCAGUGAGGAAUAUUGGUCAAUGGACGCAAGUCUGAACCAGCCAUGCCGCGUGCAGGAAGACGGCUCUAUGAGUUGUAAACUGCUUUUGUACGAGGGUAAACGCAGAUACGCGUAUCUGUCUGAAAGUAUCGUACGAAUAAGGAUCGGCUAACUCCGUGCCAGCAGCCGCGGUAAUACGGAGGAUUCAAGCGUUAUCCGGAUUUAUUGGGUUUAAAGGGUGCGUAGGCGGUCGGAUAAGUUAGAGGUGAAAACCCGAGGCUCAACCUCGGAAUUGCUGCUGAUACUGUUCGGCUAGAGAGGAGUUGCGGUAGGCGGAAUGUAUGGUGGAGCGGUGAAAUGCUGAGAGAUCAGACAGAACACCGAUUGCGAAGGCAGCUUACCAAGCUACUUCUGACGUUGAGGCACGAAAGCGUGGGGAGCAAACAGGAUUAGAUACCCGUGUAGUC
rnacentral:rRNA from 1 species